AUCUUUCUCUGAUUCGUCACUUUGUCUGCCU
rnacentral:piRNA from 1 species